AUCUAGAGGACUGACUGAAAUU
rnacentral:miRNA from 1 species